UCCGAUAUCGUGUAGUGGCUAACAUUAUCGCAUCUCACAUGAAUGAUUUACUGAAACGUUUAGAACGCGAUAGCCCGAGGUUCAAUUCUCUGUGCCGGAA